CCGGAUUUAUUGGGUUUAAAGGGUGCGUAGGCGGCCUUGUAAGUCAGCGGUGAAAUUUUGCAGCUUAACUGUAAAGGUGCCGUUGAUACUGUGAGGCUAGGAUUUGGUUGCUGUGGGUGGAAUGUGUGGUGUAGCGGUGAAAUGCUUAGAUAUCACACAGAAUAUCGAUUGCGAAGGCAGCUCACAAAGCCAAGAUUGACGCUGAGGCACGAAAGUGUGGGGAUCAAACAGGAUUAGAUACCCUGGUAGUCCACACUGUAAACGAUGAUAACUCGCUGCCGGCGAUACACAGUCGGUGGCCAAGCGAAAGCGAUAAGUUAUCCACCUGGGGAGUACGACCGCAAGGUUGAAACUCAAAGGAAUUGACGGGGGCCCGCACAAGCGGAGGAACAUGUGGUUUAAUUCGAUGAUACGCGAGGAACCUUACCCGGGCUCGAACGGUGCAUGAAUAUACAAGAGAUUGUAUAGUCCUUCGGGACAUGUAUCGAGGUGCUGCAUGGUUGUCGUCAGCUCGUGCCGUGAGGUGUCGGCUUAAGUGCCAUAACGAGCGCAACCCUUGUCAUUAGUUACCAUCAGGUCAAGCUGGGGACUCUAAUGAGACUGCCACCGUAAGGUGUGAGGAAGGGGGGGAUGACGUCAAAUCAGCACGGCCCUUAUGUCCGGGGCGACACACGUGUUACAAUGGGGGGGUACAGAGGGGCAGCCAUCCGGCGACGGAGCGCUAAUCUCAAAAACCCUUCUCAGUUCGGAUUGGGAGUCUGCAACUCGACUCCAUGGAAGUUGGGAUUCGCUAGUAAUCGCGCAUCAG
rnacentral:rRNA from 1 species